rnacentral:rRNA from 1 species
GGACUGUGCCGUUGAAACUGGCGAGCUAGAGUGCACAAGAGGCAGGCGGAAUGCGUGGUGUAGCGGUGAAAUGCAUAGAUAUCACGCAGAACCCCGAUUGCGAAGGCAGCCUGCUAGGGUGCGACAGACGCUGAGGCACGAAAGCGUGGGUAUCGAACAGGAUUAGAUACCCUGGUAGUCCACGCAGUAAACGAUGAAUACUAACUGUUUGCGAUACAAUGUAAGCGGUACAGCGAAAGCGUUAAGUAUUCCACCUGGGGAGUACGCCGGCAACGGUGAAACUCAAAGGAAUUGACGGGGGCCCGCACAAGCGGAGGAACAUGUGGUUUAAUUCGAUGAUACGCGAGGAACCUUACCCGGGCUCAAACGCAGGGGGAAUAUAUAUGAAAGUAUAUAGCUAGCAAUAGUCACCUGCGAGGUGCUGCAUGGUUGUCGUCAGCUCGUGCCGUGAGGUGUCGGCUUAAGUGCCAUAACGAGCGCAACCCCUAUCGACAGUUACUAACGGGUCAAGCCGAGGACUCUGUCGAGACUGCCGGCGCAAGCCGCGAGGAAGGUGGGGAUGACGUCAAAUCAGCACGGCCCUUACGUCCGGGGCGACACACGUGUUACAAUGGCAGGUACAGAAGGCAGCCAGUCAGCAAUGACGCGCGAAUCCCGAAAACCUGUCUCAGUUCGGAUUGGAGUCUGCAACCCGACUCCAUGAAGCUGGAUUCGCUAGUAAUCGCGCAUCAGCCAUGGCGCGGUGAAUACGUUCCCGGGCCUUGUACACACCGCCCGUCAAGCCAUGGAAGCCGGGAGUACCUGAAGCAUGCAACCGCAAGGAGCGUACGAAGGUAAUACCGGUAACUGGGGCUAAGU